GUGGUAAAACACUGACUGCCAUGAACUUCAUGUUAAAAAAAAGAAAGAAGAAAAAGCUGUGGUUUGGAGGCUGCUAGAGCUGCUGGAUAGCAAACUGCAAGCUUGUAACGUUGUGGCUGCUGAAAUCACUACAAGGAUAAUAGGGCAUACAUGCAUUUGUGGAUAAUUCUGUUUGCUAAUUGCUCAUGAAAUUUCAGGUUGAAAGUGAAGAAGGGCAUCUUCCAGGUGGCUGCAUCUUGAAAAACAGGUGCCACAGUGAUUGUUUCCUAUCCGAACAUGCCACACUACUCGAAGGGACUGGCCAGGUAGGUGCAUACAGGGCAGCCGCUUGAAAUCUGUCCCUUAUCCCCCA